rnacentral:rRNA from 1 species
AACGAACGCUGGCGGCAUGCCUAACACAUGCAAGUCGAACGAACCCUUCGGGGUUAGUGGCGCACGGGUGCGUAACGCGUGGGAAUCUGCCCUUUGCUUCGGAAUAACUCAGGGAAACUUGUGCUAAUACCGGAUGAUGUCUUCGGACCAAAGAUUUAUCGGCAAGGGAUGAGCCCGCGUAGGAUUAGGUAGUUGGUGGGGUAAAGGCCUACCAAGCCGACGAUCCUUAGCUGGUCUGAGAGGAUGAUCAGCCACACUGGGACUGAGACACGGCCCAGACUCCUACGGGAGGCAGCAGUGGGGAAUAUUGGACAAUGGGCGAAAGCCUGAUCCAGCAAUGCCGCGUGAGUGAUGAAGGCCCUCGGGUCGUAAAGCUCUUUUACCAGGGAUGAUAAUGACAGUACCUGGAGAAUAAGCUCCGGCUAACUCCGUG